rnacentral:rRNA from 1 species
AACGAACGCUGGCGGCGUGCCUAACACAUGCAAGUCGAGCGCGAAAAGGGCAACCUGAGUAGAGCGGCGCACGGGUGCGUAACACGUGGGUAAUCUGCCUUAGAGUCGAGGAUAACCUUCCGAAAGGUUGGCUAAUACUCGGUAAGCUUACGGUGUCUUCGGACGCCGUGGGAAAAGUAGGCCUCUGUUUACAAGCUUACGCUCUGAGAUGAGCCCGCGGCCCAUCAGCUAGUUGGCGGUGUAACGGACCCCCAAGGCAACGACGGGUAGCUGGUCGGAGAGGAGGAUCAGCCCCACUGGAACUGAGACACGGUCCAGACUCCUACGGGAGGCAGCAGUGGGGAAUUUUCCACAAUGGGCGAAAGCCUGAUGGAGCAACGCCGCGUGUGUGAUGAAGGUUUUCGGAUCGUAAAGCACUUUCGACUGGGACGAAAAACCUUUGGCUAACAUCCAGGGGCCUGACGGUACCAGGAGAAGAAGCACCGGCUAACUCUGUGCCAGCCGCCGCUGUAAAAC